UACGGAGGGAGCAAGCGUUACUCGGAAUUACUGGGCGUAAAGGGCGCGUAGGCGGCUCUGUAAGUCCUGUGUGAAAGCCCCGGGCCUAACCCGGGAAGUGCACGGGAUACUGGGGAGCUUGAGUGCAGGAGAGGGAAGUGGAAUUGCCGGUGUAGCGGUGGAAUGCGUAGAUAUCGGCAAGAACACCCGCGGCGAAGGCGGCUUCCUGGACUGCAACUGACGCUGAGGCGCGAAAGCUAGGGGAGCGAAC
rnacentral:rRNA from 1 species